UACGAAGGGUGCAAGCGUUACUCGGAAUUACUGGGCGUAAAGCGUGCGUAGGUGGUUCGUUAAGUCUGAUGUGAAAGCCCUGGGCUCAACCUGGGAAUGGCAUUGGAAACUGGCGACCUAGAGUGCGGUAGAGGGUAGUGGAAUUCCCGGUGUAGCAGUGAAAUGCGUAGAGAUCGGAAGGAACAUCUGUGGCGAAGGCGACUGCCUGGACCAGCACUGACACUGAGGCACGAAAGCGUGGGGAGCAAACAGG
rnacentral:rRNA from 1 species